AGAACGAACGCUGGCGGCAUGCCUAACACAUGCAAGUCGAACGCUUUUGGGGCUUCGGUCCCAAAGGAGUGGCGCACGGGUGAGUAGCGCGUGGGAACCUGCCCUGGAGUGGGGGAUAACCGAGGGAAACUUCGGCUAAUACCGCAUACGCCGGGAAACCGGGAAAGAUUUAUCGCUCUAGGAGGGGCCCGCGUCGGAUUAGGUAGUUGGUGGGGUAACGGCCUACCAAGCCUGUGAUCCGUAGCUGGUCUGAGAGGAUGAUCAGCCACACUGGGACUGAGACACGGCCCAGACUCCUACGGGAGGCAGCAGUGGGGAAUAUUGGACAAUGGGCGCAAGCCUGAUCCAGCAAUGCCGCGUGAGUGAUGAAGGCCUUCGGGUUGUAAAGCUCUUUCGCACGCGAGGAUGAUGACGCUAGCGUGAGAAGAAGCCCCGGCUAACUUCGUGCCAGCAGCCGC
rnacentral:rRNA from 1 species